rnacentral:rRNA from 1 species
UACGUAGGGGGCAAGCGUUAUCCGGAUUUACUGGGUGUAAAGGGAGCGUAGACGGCAUGGCAAGUCAGAUGUGAGAGCCCGGGGCUCAACCCCGGGACUGCAUUUGAAACUGUCAGGCUGGAGUGCAGGAGAGGUAAGCGGAAUUCCUAGUGUAGCGGUGAAAUGCGUAGAUAUUAGGAGGAACACCAGUGGCGAAGGCGGCUUACUGGACUGUAACUGACGUUGAGGCUCGAAAGCGUGGGGAGCAAACAGG